ACAUUCAGUUGCAGAACCAAAAGCAAAACCCAGCGAGCUUAGUAAGAAGAACCACCGCCGGUGACGGAACUGCUGUGUUUCCGAUCAGCGAUGUCACACAUACUCCUUCACCAUCCACACCCUCUGCCAAUCACGACCGUCCUCUCCAAAUCACUCUCAUUUUCCUUCCCGAAAUCAACGGCCCCCUUUCAUCUACAUCCACGGGCAAGAACGAUAAGGUGUAUGGCGAACCCGAGGAGAGUCAAAAUGGUGGCUAAGCAGAUCCAGAGAGAGCUAUCCGACAUGCUCCUUAAAGACAAGGUCCUUCAAUACGCUGUUCUUCCCGAAGCAUCCCUCGGAGCCGACCGUUACUUGUCUUCUCUCACCACCAUCAGCGAGGUCGAAGUCUCCGCUGAUUUGCAGGUGGUUAAAGUAUAUGUGUCUGUGUUUGGUGAUGAAAGAGGGAAGGAUGUCGCGAUUGCUGGACUGAAGUCAAAAGCUAAAUAUGUUCGCGGUGAGCUGGGCAAGAGAAUGAAGUUGCGGCUUACUCCUGAGAUACGCUUUAUAGAAGAUGAAUCUUUGGAGAGAGGAAGCAGAGUGAUUGCAAUAUUAGACAGGCUACAGGAUGAGAAAAAAACUACAGGAAGUCAAAGUGAAAAACUAGAUGAAUCAUCUGAUUUGUAUCAAGAUGACAGAGAUUGGGAUGGAGAUGACCCUGAUGAAGGCAUCAUUUACGUAGACUAGUUGCUUCAUUUGUUGCGUGACAUCAGGAUCAUUUUGAUUGUAGGUAUGCCCUCGCUUGUCACGGGUUGGAUACAAUAGACUUCUUGCUAAGAGAAGUAAGCAAGGGCACCCAGUAUCUUGAUUGGACACUAAGAGCAUGACAACCUAGCAGAACAUUCAAAAUUUUGCUCUUUGUUGGUAUAUCUUUUCACGCAUUUGUACAAGCGGGAAUCAACAUGGACAUUCAGGAUUUCUGGAAUGGACAAUUGUCAGUCUAAUGAAAUUUUUUGUAUCUAAUUGUCUGUCA